GUGAGGAAUUUUGCGCAAUGGGCGAAAGCCUGACGCAGCGACGCCGCGUGGGUGAUGAAGGUCUUCGGAUCGUAAAACCCUGUCGAGCGGGACGAAAUGUAUAAAAGAUAAUACCUUUUAUGCUUGACUGUACCGCUGGAGGAAGCUCCGGCUAACUACGUGCCAGCAGCCGCGGUAAUACGUAGGGAGCAAGCGUUGUUCGGAAUUAUUGGGCGUAAAGGGCGUGUAGGCGGUUAUGUAAGUCGAAUGUGAAAUCCCAUAGCUUAACUGUGGAACUGCGUUUGAUACUGCAUAACUUGAGUUCGGGAGAGGGAAGUGGAAUUCCUGGUGUAGCGGUGAAAUGCGUAGAGAUCAGGAGGAACACCGGUGGCGAAGGCGGCUUCCUGGACCGAUACUGACGCUGAGGCGCGAAAGCUAGGGGAGCAAACAGGAUUAGAAACCCCAGUAGUCC
rnacentral:rRNA from 1 species